rnacentral:rRNA from 1 species
CCUGAACCGCAUGCCUACAAUCAGUCGAAGCUCUUUUUAGAGUGACGGCGUACCUUUUGUAUAAUGGGUCAGUGACUUAAUUUAUAAAGCAAGCUUAAGCCAUCUAGGUGUAGGCGCAGCGAAAGCAAGUCUUAAUAGGGCGAUUAGUUUUAUGAAUUAGACCCGAAAACGAAUGAGCUUACCAUGAGCAGGUUGAAAGUUGGGUAACACCAACCGGAGGACCGAACCAGUUGACGUUGAAAAGUCUUUGGAUGACUUGUGGUAAGGGGUGAAAGGCCAACCAAAUUCGUAGAUAGCUGGUUUUCCGCGAAAACUAUUUAGGUAGUGCGAUGAAUAAAUAGAUGUUUAGAGGUAGAGCACUAAAUGGGCUAGGGGGAAGAGAUUCUUACCAAACCUAAUAAAACUCCGAAUGCUAAAUAUUGUUCUUCAUCAGACAGACUGUGGGUGCUAAGGUCCAUGGUCGAGAGGGAAAGAGCCCAGACCACCAGAUAAGGUCCCAAAAUUAUGAUUAAGUGUGAAAGGAUGUGGAAAUUCCUUAACAGCCGGGAGGUUGGCUUAGAAGCAGCCAUCCUUUAAAGAUAGCGUAACAGCUCACCGGUCUAAUAGAGUUUCUGCGCCGAAGAUGUAACGGGGCUCAAAUCAUAUACCGAAUCUGUGGGUUUAUAAAAUUUUCGAAUUUUAUAAGCGGUAGCGGAACGUUCUGUAAGCCUGUGAAGGGAUACCUGUGAAGGAUCCUGGAGGUAUCAGAAGUGCGAAUGCUGACAUAAGUAACGAUAAAAGAAGUGAAAAACUUCUUCGCCGAAAAUCCAAGGGUUUCUGCGCAAGGUUAAUCCGCGCAGAGUUAGUCGGCACCUAAGGCGAGGGCGAAAGCCGUAGUCGAUGGAAAUAAGGUUAAUAUUCCUUAACCAGGUGGUAGUGACGGAUCUUGUAAGUUGUGAGUUCUUAAUGGAUUGAACUUGCCGCGAAAAGGUUCCAAGAAAUAGCUCCAUCAUUAGACCGUACCCUAAACCGACACAGGUGGAUUAAUAGAGUAUAUUUAGGCGCUUGAGAGAAUGAUGUUGAAGGAACUCGGCAAAAUGCUUCCGUAACUUCGGGAUAAGGAAGACCUUCUUAUAGGCAACUAUAGGAGGGUGGCACAAGCCAGGGAGAAGCGACUGUUUAUCAAAAACACAGGGCUCUGCUAACACGUAAGUGGAUGUAUAGGGUCUGACGCCUGCCCGGUGCUGGAAGGUUAAUGCGGUUGGUGCAAGCUAACUUCUGAAGCCCCAGUAAACGGCGGCCGUAACUAUAACGGUCCUAAGGUAGCGAAAUUCCUUGUCGGGUAAGUUCCGACCUGCAUGAAUGGCGUAACGAUUUCUCCGCUGUCUCCAACAUCAACUCAGUGAAAUUGAAUUCUCCGUGAAGAUGCGGAGUUCGCGUAGUUAGACGGAAAGACCCCGUGCACCUUUACUGCAACUUUACAUUGGUGUUAGGAAAAACAUAUUUAGCAUAGGAGGGAGACAUUGAAGCAAUGGCGUCAGCUUUUGUGGAGUCACCAGUGAAAUACCUCUUUUGUUUUUC